rnacentral:rRNA from 1 species
AACGAACGCUGGCGGCAGGCUUAACACAUGCAAGUCGAACGGGUGCAGCAAUGCAUCAGUGGCAGACGGGUGAGUAACACGUGGGAACCUUCCUAGGGGUACGGAACAACUCAGGGAAACUUGAGCUAAUACCGUAUACGUCCGUAAGGAGAAAGAUUCAUCGCCCCUAGACGGGCCCGCGUCGGAUUAGGUAGUUGGUGGGGUAACGGCCUACCAAGCCUGCGAUCCGUAGCUGAUCUGAGAGGAUGAUCAGCCACACUGGGACUGAGACACGGCCCAGACUCCUACGGGAGGCAGCAGUGGGGAAUCUUGGACAAUGGGCGCAAGCCUGAUCCAGCCAUGCCGCGUGAGUGAAGAAGGCCUUAGGGUUGUAAAGC